rnacentral:rRNA from 1 species
UACGUAGGGUGCGAGCGUUAAUCGGAAUUACUGGGCGUAAAGCGUGCGCAGGCGGUCUGUUAAGACCGAUGUGAAAUCCCCCGGGCUUAACCUGGGAACUGCAUUGGUGACUGGCAGGCUUUGAGUGUGGCAGAGGGAGGUAGAAUUCCACGUGUAGCAGUGAAAUGCGUAGAGAUGGGGGAGAACACUCGUGGCGAAGGCGGCCAGCUAGACCAGUUCUGACACUGAGGCGCGACAGCGUGGGGAGCAAACAGG